rnacentral:snRNA from 1 species
AUCGCUUCUCGGCCUUUUGGCUAAGAUCAAGUGUAGUAUCUGUUCUUAUCAGUUUAAUAUCUGAUACGUCCUCUAUCAAAAAAAAAAAAAAAAAAAAAAAAAAAAAACAAAGGACAAUAUAUUAAAUGGAUUUUUGGAGCAGGGAGAUGGAAUAGGAGCUUGCUCUGUCCACUCCACGCAUUGACCUGGUAUUGCAGUACUUCCAGGAACGGUAAGUAAGUA